rnacentral:lncRNA from 1 species
UUUACCUGUUAAAAUCAGUUAACGAUUCUGAAAUACGUAGAUUACUCUUACCAAUAUACCAACCAUGCUAAAAUGCUUUAACAAAUGGCUCAUGCUACAUAGCCACAUUUGUUGACACAUCGGUUGACACAACACACUCACAUGAGGAGGUCGGCAUUAUUUUAUUGGCGCGGGACCCACACCUCGACUGUGAGAGGUGUGUCAACAUUUGUGUCAACAAAUGUGGUCAUUUGGCUUAAUUCUUAACAAAUAGACAUCUAAACUACAAACUCACAAUCAUGUUACAACUGCAUAAUCCUAUUACAUUUACAACUGCAUAAUCCUAUUACAUUAAAAAACAAUACAAGUCUAACACAUUAAAAUCAUACUUGCUAACACUCAAGUAACAUCAUUAGUGGCACUUUCACUAAUAGAAGAAUCACUUGAACUGUUCGAGUCCCGGGAGAUUGUAUUUUGACAAGUCUUUCUAUUAUGCCCG